GCAAUACAUCAGUCAGUGGAGCAUGAGACUCUCAAUCUCAGGGUCGUGGGUUUGAGCCCCACAUUGGACA
rnacentral:tRNA from 1 species